rnacentral:rRNA from 1 species
GUGGGGAAUAUUGGACAAUGGGGGGAACCCUGAUCCAGCCAUGCCGCGUGUGUGAAGAAGGCCUUUUGGUUGUAAAGCACUUUAAGCGAGGAGGAGGCUACCGAGAUUAAUACUCUUGGAUAGUGGACGUUACUCGCAGAAUAAGCACCGGCUAACUCUGUGCCAGCAGCCGCGGUAAUACAGAGGGUGCAAGCGUUAAUCGGAUUUACUGGGCGUAAAGCGCGCGUAGGUGGCCAAUUAAGUCAAAUGUGAAAUCCCCGAGCUUAACUUGGGAAUUGCAUUCGAUACUGGUUGGCUAGAGUAUGGGAGAGGAUGGUAGAAUUCCAGGUGUAGCGGUGAAAUGCGUAGAGAGCUGGAGGAAUACCGAUGGCGAAGGCAGCCAUCUGGCCUAAUACUGACACUGAGGUGCGAAAGCAUGGGGAGCAAACAGGAUUAGAAACCCCGGUAGUCC